AUUGAACGCUGGCGGCAGGCUUAACACAUGCAAGUCGAGCGGGGGAAGGUAGCUUGCUACCGGACCUAGCGGCGGACGGGUGAGUAAUGCUUAGGAAUCUGCCUAUUAGUGGGGGACAACAUCUCGAAAGGGAUGCUAAUACUGCAUACGUCCUACGGGAGAAAGCAGGGGAUCUUCGGACCUUGCGCUAAUAGAUGAGCCUAAGUCGGAUUAGCUAGUUGGUGGGGUAAAGGCCUACCAAGGCGACGAUCUGUAGCGGGUCUGAGAGGAUGAUCCGCCACACUGGGACGGAGACACGGCCCAGACUCCUACGGGAGGCAGCAGUGGGGAAUAUUGGACAAUGGGGGGAACCCUGAUCCAGCCAUGCCGCGUGUGUGAAGAAGGCCUUAUGGUUGUAAAGCACUUUAAGCGAGGAGGAGGCUACUUUAGUUAAUACCUAGAGGUAGUGGACGUUACUCGCAGAAUAAGCACCGGCUAACUCUGUGCCAGCCGCCGCAGUAA
rnacentral:rRNA from 1 species